rnacentral:lncRNA from 1 species
AUUACGUAUGUGGCUCUUCACAUAUUUCUAAUGAACAACAUUGGAGACUCUUAAGGGGAAUGAAAUGGACGUUCUUACUCAUCAUACCAUAAGCAUCCAGGUGAAUGAUUGCUCACUUCUUUCAUCUAAUGAGGAAUUGGCUUUCUUGAGAAUCUCAAUGCAGUGUACCUCCAACCUUAACAGACUGCUGUAAAACACCCUGACCAUUCUUUAGUAUAAGCACUGAAGAAGACAGUAUGUUGACCACGAGGCACCUGGCCUGGCUCAUAGUAUGCCAUCAAGAAAUGCUAAUUUUCUAUUUCCUCUUUUUCAAAGAGUUAUUUCAAGAAAGAAAGGAGAGGAGAGGAUGUUACAAAUUCCAUGUAAAUAAAAUU